GCAGCCGUUUUGCCGCGAAUUUUGUAAAAAAAAAACGAUUUGCAUUGGUUAGGUAUGCGCGUUUUAGGAAAAAAAAAAAUGAAACAGAUUUCUGUAAAAUCGAACGUGGACCCCGGGGAGUGUCUUAGGGUCCGGAAGUACAGUAAAAUAAGUAAAUAGCGCUUUUUAAUCGCGCCACAAAAAAAGUCAACAAAAAUCGGCAGCAGAGUCUCUUUGAAAUUGGUUCAAAUACUGACGACUCUCGGAGAUUAUAAAGCAACGAAGUUGACACGGCCCUUAAUAGCGCACUAUUCAUUUACCGUGAAUUAGCACGUUAUCCGGUCGUGAUUAUCAGCUGUCCACCGUCGCACUCAUUAGUGUUGACGAUAACACAAGUUUGUCUUAUCCGGCGGUCGGUAGAUAGGACAGGUCAGGGGGUUUAGCACCGCGAGACACGUCGGUGACUAUGUAAACCAGUUCAUCUGUGACUUAAAUCCGCCGUACGUGUCGUCGAGUUAUAUCCGCACCUUACGGUUUACCCGUCAUUUGUAUAUUAUAAAUUAUAAUAUUUUUAUAACUUUAAAACAAAAUAAAUUGACUCCACAGUCAGAACAUAACGGUGUUACGUUUAUUAUUAAUAACCUUAAAAAAAUACCGUGUCAAAGUCCAAAUUCCGAUUUGGGAGUGGCACAGAAUUCCCCUGCGAUUGUAAAAAUCAUCUAGUAGUGUUCAUCAAUAUGAAGCACGUAUAUGUUCGACCAAUUAUUAAUAAUAAUAAUAAUUAUUAUUAUUUGUCGAAGCAUCCAUCACCCACUGACGGGAGGCGUCAAAAUUCUAAACUGUGUUUUAUUUGUAAAAGCAAAAAACAUUUGAGAAAAGAUUGCCCAAAACGGUAUAAAAAAAAAAAAACGUUGGCAAAGAGCAAUACAAAAAGUCGGAGAAGUCGGCGAAGCAAUACCCCCAACCACUCCCAGCCGAAGUUGAAAUGACGGAAGAAUGCAACAGCAGUAUUUAAAAAUAUACAUUACUAAUGUAAAGAUACAUUACAAACUUGGCAUUAAUACCAUGAUAAGAAAUUAGAUAAGGCAAUUAUUACUUAUCACUCUCAUUCAAAAGUAUAUUGAAAAGUAAAUUUUCACAAACUUCAAAACGCUACAGAAUAUUUACUACUGAAUAUUAAUAAGAUAUUUUUUUACUAAAAUUUUUCUUAAAUUUUACUCUACAAAAUAGCUAUCUUAGAUUUUUUUUAUACAUUUUAUUUAAAAUUUAAAAAUAAUUAAUAUUUUUAAUAAAAUGUAAAAAAAUUAAUUAUUGAGAUAUAGCUAUAGACCUAACGUAUAUCUAUUAUUAAAAAAAAAAAUCAACUAAAAAUAUUAACUGGAUCAAAAGUUAUUUAAGUUGUCAGUGAGUGGUGGGCCACCCUGUAUAUGAUGUUCCUUUAAUUAUUUACUAAUUGUGUAUAAAAUAAAUGACUAACUUAAAAAAUGAUUUUAUAUAAUAACAAUUGAACUAUUAAAAUUAAACUCCAAUCGAUGUGUUUUCCGUACGAAAAAAAAAAGAAGCAAGUUUAUUUGUCUCACUACUCAACUACUUUGUUAUUAAAAUUAUAAUAAUUUGAAAUUAAGACUUAGUAUGUU